GGGGAUAUGGCGAAAUUGGUAGACGCUGCGGACUUAAAAUCCGUUGACUUUAAAAAUCGUGAGGGUUCAAGUCCCUCUAUCCCCAA
rnacentral:tRNA from 12 species